rnacentral:misc_RNA from 1 species
GAUGAAGAACGUAGUGAAAUGCGAUAAGUAAUGUGAAUUGCAGAAUUCAGUGAAUCAUCGAAUCUUUGAACGCACAUUGCGCCCUCUGGUAUUCCGGGGGGCAUGCCUGUUCGAGCGUCAUUACAACCCUCAAGCUUUGCUUGGUAUUGGACAUUGCCAGUUUCUGGCAGGUCUUAAAAUCAGUGGCGGUGCCAUUUGGCUUCAAGCGUAGUAAUUCUUCUCGCUUUGGAGAUCCAAGUGGUUACUUGCCAAUAACCCCCAAUUUUUUCAGGUUGACCUCGGAUCAGGUAGGGAUACCCGCUGAACUUAAGCAUAUCAAUAAGCGGGA